UGCAAGUCGAACGGUAACAGGAAGCAGCUUGCUGCUUCGCUGACGAGUGGCGGACGGGUGAGUAAUGUCUGGGAAACUGCCUGAUGGAGGGGGAUAACUACUGGAAACGGUGGCUAAUACCGCAUAACGUCGCAAGACCAAAGAGGGGGACCUUCGGGCCUCUUGCCAUCAGAUGUGCCCAGAUGGGAUUAGCUUGUUGGUGAGGUAACGGCUCACCAAGGCGACGAUCCCUAUCUGGUCUGAGAGGAUGACCAGCCACACUGGAACUGAGACACGGUCCAGACUCCUACGGGAGGCAGCAGUGGGGAAUAUUGCACAAUGGGCGCAAGCCUGAUGCAGCCAUGCCGCGUGUAUGAAGAAGGCCUUCGGGUUGUAAAGUACUUUCAGCGGGGAGGAAGGUGUUGUGGUUAAUAACCACAGCAAUUGACGUUACCCGCAAACAAGCACCCGGCUAACUCCGUG
rnacentral:rRNA from 1 species